rnacentral:rRNA from 1 species
UGGGGAAUCUUGCACAAUGGGGGAAACCCUGAUGCAGCGACGCCGCGUGAGCGAUGAAGCCCUUCGGGGUGUAAAGCUCUUUCGGCAGGGACGAUAAUGACGGUACCUGCAGAAGCAGCUGCGGCUAACUACGUGCCAGCAGCCGCGGUAAUACGUAGGCAGCGAGCGUUGUUCGGAGUUACUGGGCGUAAAGGGUGUGUAGGCGGUUCUCUAAGUUUGGUGUGAAAUCUCCCGGCUCAACCGGGAGGGUGCGCCGAAAACUGGAGGGCUAGAGUGCGGGAAGGGAGAGUAGAAUUCCUGGUGUAGCGGUGAAAUGCGUAGAUAUCAGGAGGAAUACCGGUGGUGUAGACGGCUCUCUGGACCGCGACUGACGCUGAGACACGAAAGCGUGGGUAGCAAACA